UGGGGAAUUUUGGACAAUGGGGGCAACCCUGAUCCAGCCAUCCCGCGUGUGCGAUGAAGGCCUUCGGGUUGUAAAGCACUUUUGGCAGGGAAGAAACAGCCUGGGAUAAUACCCCGGGCGACUGACGGUACCUGCAGAAUAAGCACCGGCUAACUACGUGCCAGCAGCCGCGGUAAUACGUAGGGUGCAAGCGUUAAUCGGAAUUACUGGGCGUAAAGCGUGCGCAGGCGGUUCGGAAAGAAAGGUGUGAAAUCCCAGGGCUUAACCUUGGAACUGCACUUUUAACUACCGAGCUAGAGUACGUCAGAGGGGGGUAGAAUUCCACGUGUAGCAGUGAAAUGCGUAGAGAUGUGGAGGAAUACCGAUGGCGAAGGCAGCCCCUGGGAUGAUACUGACGCUCAUGCACGAAAGCGUGGGGAGCAAACAGGAUUAGAUACCCUGGUAGUCCACGCCCUAAACGAUGUCAACUAGCUGUUGGGGUUUAUUAACCUUAGUAGCGCAGCUAACGCGUG
rnacentral:rRNA from 1 species